GCCUCCUCACACAAGAUUGGGACAUGAGUAAUUACAUCUAUGGGAGAAAUGUUCCCAGCUAUGACACAUAACCCUUUAUGACCACGCCUAAUACUUUUAACCACCUCCUUCACUCCUCUCUUCAAGCAUUUGUGUUCAGCAGCUCCGCGAACUAACUUGAGGGUUCUUUUGCAGAGCUUUUUACCAGCAAGUGGCUUGGCGAUUGGAGACAGAGCCAACAUCUUCUUCUUGUCCUUCUCCUGCUUCCGCGACCUCUCUGUUUCGCUGUCACUUCCCAUAUCUCCUCUCUCAAUCUCGGUGCUUGUGAAGCAGAGAAG
rnacentral:misc_RNA from 1 species